AUAUCAAUAAGCGGAGGAAAAGAAACCAACAGGGAUUGCCCUAGUAACGGCGAGUGAAGCGGCAACAGCUCAGAUUUGAAAUCUGGCCUUUUGGCCCGAAUUGUAAUCUGUAGAGGAUGCUUUUGGUGCGGCGCCUUCUGAGUUCCCUGGAAUGGGACGCCAUAGAGGGUGAGAGCCCCGUAUAGUAGGACGCCUAGCCUCUGUAAAGCGCCUUCGACGAGUCGAGUAGUUUGGGAAUGCUGCUCUAAAUGGGAGGUAAAUUUCUUCUAAAGCUAAAUAUUGGCGAGAGACCGAUAGCGCACAAGUA
rnacentral:rRNA from 1 species